rnacentral:rRNA from 1 species
UGCCUACGGGACGCAGCAGUGAGGAAUAUUGGUCAAUGGUCGGGAGACUGAACCAGCCAAGCCGCGUGAGGGAUGAAGGUACAGAGUAUCGUAAACCUCUUUUGUCAGGGAACAAAGGCGGGGACGCGUCCCCGGAUGAGUGUACCUGAAGAAAAAGCAUCGGCUAACUCCGUGCCAGCAGCCGCGGUAAUACGGAGGAUGCGAGCGCUAUCCGGAUUUAUUGGGUUUAAAGGGGGCGCAGGCGGUCUGUUAAGUCAGCGGUCAAAUGCCGGGGCUCAACCC